GGUUAAUGGGCAUCCUGGCCGGUUCCUUCACGCCUCCGCUCCUCAUUCAUUCAUCCAGCAGUCAGCUCGCUGAGAGACGGAUUUGCAGUUGAUCCCCGAGCUCAGUCCAACCGGGGCUUACAAAGAAGCCUGGCACAGAGCAGGCGAUCUGUUACUGCCUGAUGAAGAAAGGCUCUUCUCAAAUGAAAAGAAAAUGACAAGGGUGAUCCUUCUACAAGGAGGCUAAUAUUUGGAACUGGAGGAAAAGGGGACAAGGAUGGUGUCCUGCUCGUCUCCAAGGCCAGGGAGAAGGGGACAUGAAUCCUCAGCACCAGUGUUACUAACCCAACUCUUUCCUGCCUCCCAUUUCACAGCUUGGACAACUGAGACCCCCAUGCAAGGAAGUGACUGAUCUUAGGCUAGGAGGCUGGAGCUUGGCCUCUGCACCAGACAUGGGUUCAAACCCUGCCCUGCAACUGUUAAGACCAAAUUCCGCCACUGAGAGAUCACCAGACACACAUGCAAAAAACAAAGGAGUGACUUUAUUCAAGCAUGCUCCGGCCGUACCCUCGGCAGAACUCUGCUCAGAGGGGACAACCCUGAGAUAGAAAUGAUGGUAGGCUUUAUGCUGUUUGGUGUGAUGCAUUUUGGGUUGCUACAAAAUGUGGGGGAAAUUUCCCUGGGGAAACUGGGACCAAGUUGGGGGGGGUUGGUGGGUGCAGGGACUGAGGUAACUUAGGAGGUUUAGGAUUGGCUGGCUCUAUCUGGGACUGGCCCUACCUGGAGGCUAUGAGAACAAAGGAGUGCAUGUUGGAAUGGCUGGCUCCAUCUGGAACUGACCCCUCCCAGAGGCUGUGAGACUCAGGAGGGCAGGCUUUCCCUGGUUGUGGCUGGGGCACCAGGGCCAACUUUCACCCAGGGGGUGGCCACUGAGAAUCUCUCAGCUCCUGGUGAAAGACCAACUCUGCCCUCCCCCCCACCCCCGCUUCCUCACCCUGCUAAGUAGCCUUUUUAUCUUCUCUCUCUCUCUCUUUUUUUUUUUUUUUUUUUUUAUUGUUGGGGAUUCAUUGAGGGUACAAUAAGCCAGUUACACUGAUUGCAAUUGUUAGGUAAAGUCCCUCUUGCAAUCGUGUCUUGCCCCCAUAAAGUGUGACACACACUAA